rnacentral:tRNA from 1 species
GGGGAUUUAGCUUAGCUGGUAAAGUGCUUGCCUCACAUGUACAAGGCUGUGGGUUCAAUCCCCAGAAUCAUCA